rnacentral:rRNA from 1 species
GACGAACGCUGGCGGCGUGCUUAACACAUGCAAGUCGAACGGAAAGGCCCUGCUUUUGUGGGGUGCUCGAGUGGCGAACGGGUGAGUAACACGUGAGUAACCUGCCCUUGACUUUGGGAUAACUUCAGGAAACUAGGGCUACUACCGGAUCGGAGCUCCUGCUGCAUGGUGGGGGUUGGAAAGUUUCGGCGGUUGGGGAUGGACUGGCGGCUUACCAGCUUGUUGGUGGGGUAGUGGCUUACCAAGGCUUUGCAGGGUAGCCGGCCUGAGAGGGUGACCGGCCACAUUGGGACUGAGAUACGGCCCAGACUCCUACGGGAGGCAGCAGUGGGGAAUAUUGCACAAUGGGCGGAAGCCUGAUGCAGCAACGCCGCGUGCGGGAUGACGGCCUUCGGGUUGUAAACCGCUUUCGCCUGUGACGAAGCGUGAGUGACGGUAAUGGGUAAAGAAGCACCGGCUAACUACGUG